rnacentral:lncRNA from 1 species
CAACGUUAGCAUCCAACUCCAAACAAUUCCAACGACUCCAACUGCAGGCAGCAUCUUCACGCUAGCAGAAAAUGACAAAGCCAUUAAAUGCUCAAUGACAGCAGCUCAGACGGCAACAAUGACAUAUACACGGAAAGACGAGCGACGCCUACACGAAGAUAGACGGAAAGCAGUAGUCGUUCACGCGUCUCCUUCAGCCUACUAUUUCUGUAAGACUCUCUGCGAUUCCAGAAGGCAGCAGGCACAUUUUUCCUACCUUUCCUCUUCCGGAAUAGAGUUGAAGCUUCAGAAAAGAGUGUCGUCCUAAAAUGGUGAAAGUUGGAGUUUGAAUUUUUUUGGAAUGGGCCUCGUCCCUAUCCGAAAAUCUCCCGCCUAUCCACCCGUUUUGCCCUAAUUUCGUUGAUAAAUAGUUCUAUGUCCUUCGUUGUUAAGGGGGCAGAUUUUUUUUAACGAAAAAAAAAAAAUUCAACUAAGACAUCCAAAGUAACUCAUACCUACAAAAACAUAUUUCAAAGAGAAACAGAGGAGGGACUUGUUUUUGUGUCUUUUUGGUUUGAUAUUCUUGCCCAAAUUUCUUGGCUACUGUUCGUGUUUCGGAUUUCGCGUGGUGAAGGUUGUCCUUCCAACUCGUCCUGUCCUUGUUCGCUGCACCUUGAAAGGUAACACCUCAUCUAUAAUGUUCUUUUCAUUUUUUUAUUUUUUUUUUGGAUUAAAGGGCGUUUAAGACCAUUGUUUCGUUGUUGUAUUUUUGUCAUUUGACAUCGGACAGUGGUAGCUGGUAUAUAUACUUUGCUUGUAUGCUAUUCCUCUUGGUUUUCUAUUGAAUAUCGAGUUGAAAACUUUGUUAUUUUAGUGUUAGUUUGGUUGAUUCUCCAUGUCGCCUCUUAAGUUUAUUUUGUUGCAACAAGGUUGUUAGUAUGUUGGUGUUGAGGUACGCCCCAAAUCGGUUAAGUUGAGUGUGCUUCAUCCAUGAUUUUGUUCUGUUUUCAACAUCUCUUUCCACUUGUUUACCUGUUACUUCGGUGAAAUUUGCUUUUCCUUUCCCUUUCCCCUCAAUCCUAAAGCAUGUAUGUCACUAUGUUACUGUUUGUUGAAUAAAUGUUCAAAAAAAUGGUUCCUCAAGUUUCAUCCUUAAGUUUGGAUUUUUUUUUUAUUUUUUUUUAUUAUUUUCUUUUUCUUUUUCUCUUUACUAGUUUGAUCUUGUUGAGAUUAAGUAUGCCUUGUGAAAUUGCUUGACCCAUCUCUUUAAUACUAGAUAUUUAGGUCCAACUCUCUUUCCCUUAUUUCUUUGUUUUGUUUGUUUACCUGUUAUUAUCUGUUAUUAAUCUUAAAGUUAAAAAUUUCAAACCCCCAAAAGACACUUAUUCUGAAUUAAUCACUUAACUAAAUUAUUCGUCUCUUACUAGAUUUAAGAAAUAAGUAAAUAAAUAAAUAAGUUUACAAAAUACUUCACUUAAAUAAUAUUGCAAUAUUUUUCUAUUUUUCCCUUAAAAUGGCCCUAACUAUAAAAUAGUUCGGUUCUGCAAUUCAUGCUAAGUUAAAAUUAGCGGACAUUUCGGGUGCUUUCAAACCCUUCCCGAAUAUGCUAAUAAGAACCCCGAACCCUUUUAAGUUUUCAUUAGAUUCCUGUUUUAGUCUUUUGAAAACAAAUAGUUUUCUUGAUUUUUCUCAAAAAUUAAGUGGCGACUUUAAAAUCAGUCCAAAAUAUAUAUUUUAAAUAAAACAAUCGGAAGAUUUACUCUUAAACAUAUUCAUGUUUUUCAAUAUUAGUUCUAUAAUAUGUAGGUCGCUUGACCAAAUUAUAUUAAUAAUGGAAUAUGUUUUUAGUAUUCUUUUGUUUGUCAUCUAAUUUAUCAGCAUAUGAUUUGCAAUUGUAAGUUCUGCAUGACACCCUAAUCACUUUCGAACUCAACAAUUUUUAAAUACCAAGUACCAUAUCGAAUACAAAAAAAAAUGUUAUCAUAUACCAUAUCAAAUACCAUAAGGUAUUGUUUGAUAUUACAAAAAAGAUUAUGGUGGAUGAGGUAUAUCAUGUAAUGGCCUAACCCAUCAAUGAUCCCUUAAUGUUGGCACGAAGUUUCACUUGGACACCUCAACUGGACGAUGUUCAUUCUAGACACCUCGUGUAGAGUUCAAUUGUGUUAUUUUGAUACUUUUUUUUCAAUCAACAAAAUUAUAUGAGGUGUGUGUUACACUUGCGAAUGACGUGUAAAGUAACAAAUUAAAUGAUGAGACUUGUCAAACACCCCUGCUACCCAUCUGCAGAAAAAUACCCCGUGCCCCCCGCCCCUACCUCACACUGCCUUCUCCAAAUACCUAUCCACUUGCAGACACCCCCGUUCCUCCCCUGAUUUUUUUUGUCCAAAUCCCUGUUUUUGCAUAACAUCUGGGCACACACGCACUUACACACGGUCCAUGAAUAAUUUAAUACUUAAAUCUCGAAAUGGAUCUAUUCUUAAAUUUCUAAAAUAUUUUUCAUCAUCUUAUUGUAACUAUAUUUAUUAACCAUUGUUGGAGGGUUUUCACGCGCGGUCAACGAGUGUAUUACACUUACUAAGCCAUGUAAACAGAAAAUGUCAAAAUGACAUAAUAGGAGUCAACAUAAGAUGUCUGAAAUGAACAUCGUCCAGUUAAUAUGUCUAAAUAAAAUUUCGUGUUAAUUUUAAGGGGCCACCGAUGAAUUAGGCCACCAUGUAAUAGUUGUAUGAGAGAUUUUUUUAAUAGAAAAAAAAGUACAUUUUGUAGGUUCCAUGUCUUUUCAACCUCUCCCUUUCUCUUCUCACUCCUCCACCCCACCUUAUAUUUACCCCUCUUUAAUAUGAAGUACUUUAUCUUAUUAUUUUUUAAUUUAAAUAUAUUUCAUUACAUAAAUUUAAAAUAAUUCAAUAACAAGAUCAAAGCAAAAAAAAAGAGAGAGUAAUAUAUUAAAAUUAGCAUUUCAGUAUUUCUUAAAAUUAAUAUUUAUUUUCCUUACCUUUUUUAUAGUUCAUAAUAUUCAUUUGUCAAAAAUCAAAUAGAGAUAAAUAUAUUGAUACUAAUUUAAAUUUAAAGUCAAAUAAUUACGUUCUUAAAAAAGGUAAACUAAAAUGCGUGCACUUAACAUCAUAAAAAAUUAAUUGUUUUAGUUUUAGGAUAAAUAUAAAUAGUUAUUUAAAUUACUUUAAUCAAUUCUUCUUUUUUUCAUUUUACUCUCUCCAUCAAUUUAUUCGAUUAUUUUUUUCUUGAAAUUCAAGCUAUAAAAUGUAUUUUUUUUAUAUGCUAACAUGAUAAGAAUUGCAACUUAUAGUAUAUUUGGUUGUAUUGCUACUUAGUGGGAAGGUAUUUAUGAACAAACAUUAUAAGUUGUAGUUCUUAUGUUAAUAUAAAAAAUAAAAAUAUAUUUUAAAAUAUUAAUUAAUUUCACAUUGCUUGAUUUCAAGAAUAAAAAGAUAUCAUAUAAAUUGACAGAAGAGUAUGUAUAUAUUUAAGUGUUUAUGAAAAAAAAUUGAUUUUGGGUUACAUUAAAAUAGUAUAAAAACUUAUGUAAUUAUUUGUCAAGAUUAUUGAUGCUCUUUUCAUUAUAUUUUCUUGUGAAUAUUUGAUGAAUUUAAGUAUAUAUGAAAUUAUUGAGAAGAGAAAAUAAUAAUAAUUUAUACCCCUUUCGUUUUUCGUAUUAGUUAUUUAAUUUUUCUUUUACGAAUUCUUUAAGAAAUUAUAAAUAAAAACGAUACUUUAUUAAUUUACUCCUUAAGAAUUGUUUUUGCAAUUUUACAAAAUUUGUUUAUAUUUUUAAGAAUAAUUAAUUAUUAGUGUAAUGAAAAUAAAAAUAAAAAUAAAAAUAAAAAUAAAAUUAUAGUUUAAUUUGUUAAAUGACAAAUAAUUUUUAAUAAUUAUUUUUAGUAAUGUAAUUAAUCAAUACAUGAAAGAAAAAUAAUAUCAAAUGCUAAAAGUACGAUGAAUUAGGUUAAAUUUCACAUUUUUUGUACAUAAAAUUAUUUUUUUUAAAAAGGAAAAAAAAGAAGAGGAAGAGUUGUUGAAAAAUUGAAGAUUUGAAUCAAAGUGAAAAAAUUAAAAAGUAAAAGAGAGAAAUGAAUUUGGCCCAUUAUUCUGAAAAUGGGACCUCAUGCAAUUUUUGGUUGUCACAUAAUACCUAUCCCUAAUCCACCAGAAAAAAAUUCCAUUUAAUUAUAUUCUUGAGAAAAUUUAUCAUGUGCAAUCAGAGGCGGGGCAAGAUCAUUUAAAGUUCAUGGAUUUGAAAUUUUAAUUUUUCUAAGUUUUCGGUUCUAAAUUAAUAAUUUGUAUAUAUUCAACAGAUUUUGUACUACAAAUUCCGAAUUUGAAUAAAAAAUUACUCGGUUUGAUUACCGGACAUUACUGAGCUAAUUUAACUGGAUGGGAUCCGUUUCCGCCUUAUGUUCAUUUAACAUUAGUCAAAGUUUAUUAUGCAGGGACAGCUCACAUUUUUGGUGACAUUUAUUAAUGAGGAGAUAAUUUUCUCAUCGUAGUUCAGCCAAAAAAAACUCUCGCCGUAAUUAUAGAGAUCAAAGCACCGUAAUUGAUAGAAAAUGUACUCUGUUUGAAAGAGUUACAAAGUAAAAAAAAAACAGGACUUUUGCAGGGGGGGAUUUAGGCACAGGUGCAAGGUCUGGUUGGUAGCGUUUUGACUAUUUCCUUACUUGUCGGUGUAAUGUCAAAAUGGAUUUGGCCUGCAAUGCCGGUCCAAUCCAAUCCUUGAAUUAAAUGGGGUUGGACUCAAAUUUUUCAGUCCAUUUAAGAACGAGGCCUUUUAGUCCAGCCUCCUUUGGCCCGCUGGCCUCGUAGGCCCAACCCGCAAGUCUCAGAGGUCAGCCCAUGGACUGUGAAUUUUAAAAAUAUUUAUUAUAUAUAUUUUAAGUAGUGUUUUACUUGUUAAGAUUUUAUCAAUAAAUAUUUUUAAAAUAUCAAUAUAAAAUCAAGACUAUAUUUGUUUUUUUUUUUU